rnacentral:rRNA from 1 species
UACGAGGGGGGCGAGCGUUGUUCGGAAUUAUUGGGCGUAAAGGGUGCGUAGGCGGUUUGGUAAGUCUUAUGUGAAAUCUAUGGGCUCAACUCAUAGACUGCAUGAGAAACUGCCGGGCUUGAGUAUGGGAGAGGUGAGUGGAAUUCCUGGUGUAGCGGUGAAAUGCGUAGAUAUUGGGAGGAACACCAGUGGCGAAGGCGGCUCACUGGACCGGUUCUGACGCUGAUGCGCGAAAGCGUGGGAGCGAACAGG